rnacentral:rRNA from 1 species
GCCUAUACAUGCAAGUCGAACGCUUCUUUUUCCNCCGGAGCUUGCUCCACCGGAAAAAGAGGAGUGGCGAACGGGUGAGUAACACGUGGGUAACCUGCCCAUCAGAAGGGGAUAACACUUGGAAACAGGUGCUAAUACCGUAUAACAAUCGAAACCGCAUGGUUUUGAUUUGAAAGGCGCUUUCGGGUGUCGCUGAUGGAUGGACCCGCGGUGCAUUAGCUAGUUGGUGAGGUAACGGCUCACCAAGGCGACGAUGCAUAGCCGACCUGAGAGGGUGAUCGGCCACAUUGGGACUGAGACACGGCCCAAACUCCUACGGGAGGCAGCAGUAGGGAAUCUUCGGCAAUGGACGAAAGUCUGACCGAGCAACGCCGCGUGAGUGAAGAAGGUUUUCGGAUCGUAAAACUCUGUUGUUAGAGAAGAACAAGGAUGAGAGUAACUGUUCAUCCCUUGACGGUAUCUAACCAGAAAGCCACGGCUAACUACGUG